CAUCUAACGGAGGAGGGAAGCGAGUUCCACAGGAACGGUGCAACCCUCGAGAAAUCUUGAAGGCGAGCAUCAGAGGUGGGAGUACGGACAGAAGAUAGACGUAAGUCUUCAGCAGAUCGUAUGGGCCUAGACAGGACAUACUUGUGUAUAAGGGAGGAUAGAUAGGUGGAAGCAGCAUUAUGUAGCAAUUUGAAAGCAAGAACC